GAUGAACGCUGGCGGCGUGCCUAACACAUGCAAGUCGAGCGAAGCACUUAAUUUAGCUUUCUUCGGAAUGACGAAGUUUGUGACUGAGCGGCGGACGGGUGAGUAACGCGUGGGCAACCUGCCCUGUACAGGGGGAUAACAGUUAGAAAUGACUGCGAAUACCGCAUAAGCCCACAGCUUCGCAUGAAGCAGUGGGAAAAACUCCGGUGGUACAGGAUGGGCCCGCGUCUGAUUAGCUAGUUGGUAAGGUAACGGCUUACCAAGGCGACGAUCAGUAGCCGACCUGAGAGGGGGACCGGCCACAUUGGGACUGAGACACGGCCCAAACUCCUACGGGAGGCAGCAGUGGGGAAUAUUGCACAAUGGGGGAAACCCUGAUGCAGCGACGCCGCGUGAGCGAUGAAGUAUUUCGGUAUGUAAAGCUCUAUCAGCAGGGAAGACAGUGACGUUACCUGACUAAGAAGCCCCGGCUAACUACGUG
rnacentral:rRNA from 1 species